rnacentral:rRNA from 1 species
AAAAACCUCUAAGCUUCAGGUAUAAGCAGCCCGUACCGUAAACCGACACAGGUAGACGAGGAGAGUAUCCUCAGGCGCUCGAGUGAGUCACGGCUAAGGAACUCGGCAAAAUGGACCCGUAACUUCGGGAGAAGGGUCGCCUCAGCAAUGAGGCCGCAGUGAAAAGUAUCAGGCGACUGUUUAACAAAAACACAGGGCUCUGCAAAAUCGAAAGAUGAAGUAUAGGGCCUGACACCUGCCCGGUGCUGGAAGGUUAAGGAAGGUUGUUAGCCGCAAGGCAAAGCUUCCGACUGAAGCCCCAGUAAACGGCGGCCGUAACUAUAACGGUCCUAAGGUAGCGAAAUUCCUUGUCGGGUAAGUUCCGACCUGCACGAAUGGUGUAACGAUCUGAGCACUGUCUCAGCCGUGAGCUCGGUGAAAUUGUAGUCCCGGUGAAGAUGCCGGGUACCCGUAACGGGACGGAAAGACCCCGUGAACCUUCACUACAACUUUGCAUUGACUUUGAGUAAACGAUGUGUAGCAUAGGUGGGAGACUUUGAAGCGGGCACGCUAGUGUUCGUGGAGUCAACGUUGAAAUACCACCCUUUGUUUACUUAGAGCCUAAUCCGCUAAGCGGAGAAAGUGCAUGGUGGGUAGUUUGACUGGGGUGGUCGCCUCCAAAAGAGUAACGGAGGCUUCCAAAGGUACCCUCAGCACGCUUGGUAACCGUGCGCAGAGUGUAUUAGCAUAAGGGUGCUUGACUGUGAGACCGACGGGUCGAGCAGGUACGAAAGUAGGGUAAAGUGAUCCGGUGGUUCUGCAUGGAAGGGCCAUCGCUCAAAGGAUAAAAGGUACUCCGGGGAUAACAGGCUGCACCUCGAUGUCGGCUCGUCACAUCCUGGGGCUGGAGAAGGUCCCAAGGGUUGAGCUGUUCGCUCAUUAAAGUGGCACGCGAGCUGGGUUCAGAACGUCGCAAGACAGUUCGGUCCCUAUCUGUUAUGGGCGUUUGAGAUUUGAGAAGAUCUGUUUCUAGUACGAGAGGACCGGAAUGGACUGACCUCUAGUGUACCGGUUAUGUCGCCAGAUGUACCGCCGGGUAGCUACGUUGGGAAGGGAUAAGCGCUGAAAGCAUCUAAGCACGAAACCCACUUCAAGAUGAGAUCUCAUAGGGUCGUCGAAGACUACGACGUUGAUAGGUCAUAGGUGUAAAGGUGGUAACAUCAAAGCCGAGUGAUACUAAUAACCCAUCAACUUUUUAAA